ensembl:lncRNA
ACCUUAUUUCUGCACUUACUGUUGUUGUCUCUGAGAGGAUUCUCACUCACUGUGGCCUUAGGUCUUGCUGCUCUGCUGUUUUCCAUCAUGUUACAACCUCUAAAGAAAGAGAGUGCUGUAUUGGUGUGCUGACUCUUCUGGAGAGUGAUUUCUAAAUAAUCACUGGUCCUUCUCAACAUGGAUUUCUUUUUUUUGUUUAUUUUGGGGGGAAACAAAAGUGCUGUAUACAGAAGAACAUCUUAAAUUUGAGGAAACAGAGGCACAGUGCAUGGAAGCAACCAACAACGGAUAGCAGGCAACAUAAACAGCUGAAAGGAGAACAAAAGCUUCCAGUGUCCCAUGUGUGUGAUCUCAACAUUGAGUCAAUCUGGCAACUGCUGAGGAAGAACGUUCCAGAGCCCUGUAAUGAAGUUUCCCGCUUGAAACACGUCACCGUCUUUUUCCAAGAUAUGGGAGAUGUUGAACUGAGUGACUAAUGUAAAGGAUUGAAAGUGACAGGAAACUUAAGAAAGGAUAUGUGAACAACCAAAUAGUGAAAUACUAACAUAAGUCAUAAACUGUAGCAUUUUUUCUUUUAACCUACUAAAAUGACAAAAUCAUAGAAUUAAGAAACCUAAGUAAACCAAUUAUAUACUGUAUUGAAAUUGAGCUGGCUUUGAAUACAAAAAAAAUAAAGUGUAUAGUGGUCUCUAAUGAGAUAAAUGUUACAAAUUUAAAUUAUUUGUGGGAAGAUAUAUCUAUAAUUUCUUAAUAAGUAUUCAAAUAAAUAAAAUACUCCACCACCCCCUCUUCCCUCCUUGCCUUUCCCUUCCCUGUCUCAUCUGUGCAGUUCCCACAAAUAGGUGCAAACUCUCAAUAGCAUCUGGUUGCUGUAAAUGUAGAUGAAAAUCAGAUAAUGAAGUAUCAAUCUCCAGACUUCUGAGCAUUGGUAAGAACAAUAGGGUUGGCCUUCCAAGGAAUGUGAUCCUGAAAUUAUAGAUGUAUAAUAAUAUUGGUAUUUUGCUUGUGUAAGGAUGGAGCCAGGAACAAUUUUUUUUUACUGUAUUUCAGAGAAUUUCGUAUUGUUUAUGUACUUCAAGCUUGCAUUUAGUCUGUAUUGCUGAUGUUGAUCUACAAGGAGGCUUACUUUACAGGAUGGAUCCAAGUGAAAUAUAUGAGCUCUGCUGUUGAGUUGUAUGUUGUAUGGAGUUGUAUGCAUGUUAUUGUGUUUUGCAAAAAAACAAACCCUUAUUUGUCAUUG